AAGUGGAGAGAGGGCUAAUGAAUGAUAAUGGUCUCAUAAUUGUUACAAAAGCAUAUCACAGGAAGCUAUCCAAACCCUAAUUACUAGCUACUCAUGUAAAAUUCUUUUGUAAAGUUGACGGUUUUACCGACACCCAACUUCUUGUAUGAAUUUUCGCUAAGCUGUAAACUUCAAUGCAUGUCUCAGAAGGAAUUCCACUGAUACAGUGUCUCCUGCUAUGUUAAUUUGUUCCACCUCAACAUCGAGAUGCCUUGUAGAGACAAGAGACGAUGUGUACACUUGAACUCCUGAAAUAAAGACACCAUGAAGUCCUAAUAAAACUAGGAAAUAGAAAAGCUGAUUCUAGACAAAUGGAAGAUGCGUUUUUCCCAUGCCCUAGUGUGAGUUUUCUCUACUUUCUUGUAACCUUCAAUGGUUCAACUUGCAAGUGAUCUGAUAAACAACAGUAAGAACAUAAUCCAAUCAAAGACAAUGUUCUCUAGUUUUUCUCUUGUAAUCCGACGGUGGCAGCAAAUGAGGAUAAAAAGCAUGCACAUCAAAGCUUCUGAAAUAGGACACUGAGGGUGCCGGCUGAAUGCAACGAUGAUGAUUAGAAAACUCAACAAUAGUCGGAGGACGGAGCUCAAUCAACAGUCGGAGAGGGACGAGCACAACAACAAGAGAGAAAAUAUUGACAAGAGCCGACUUAAGUUGAUCACCAAUAGUUGACGGCACUGCACCACAAAACUUAAUUCUUUUGCAUCCGAUUCGACAAAACCGUGGAUGGAUAGAUAGCAAAUAUUGCAAUUUUUCUGAUUGCUACCAAUCACGAUCAAACCUCCACUAAUCUC
rnacentral:lncRNA from 1 species